UGGGAUUGUCGAGAAAAAGCUCUCUUAAGCUAUCCACGUAGGAUAGGAAAUUUGACCAAUAGGAUUUAAGAAAUCAUCCACGUCAUUCAUUAUUCAUUUGCCGAAAAAAAAAAAAACAGAAAGGCACCCGACGAUCUUCCCCUUUACCACUUCGUCUUCCCCGCUUGAAACCAUAGCGACUGAUCCAAUUCUACACAAUCAAUACUCCACUUAACUUCGAUCAAUCAGUUUUCUAUUUAUGGUUUCGAUUCAGCUCUGUCUUUCUUCUUCAUUGAUUAUUUUGUGUCACAGUUGUUCUCCUGGACGAGGCUUCCAUGGUUCAGAUCGUAAGAGAUGAAUAAAGGGGAAGUUCUUAGCCUCUAUUUUCCAUGAACUUUUCCGGUCAAUAUGUCUCUCUCACUCUGAUUUGUUUGUUUUGUGGUACGUGAAGCAUUGUCGUGAGCAGAGUUGGUGGUCGUGAGCUUUAACACGGAGGAGGCACGGCGCGGUGGUGAUGGUACAAUAACCUGUUUUUUCCUAAAGCAGAAGACAACGCUUGGUGCAGCCGAUGACAAGACGAUGUUUGGAUUUAGAUCUAGGUUUAAUUUGUUUCGGUUGUUGAAGGGGUUCCAAAGAUCAAGGCCGGUACAAUCCUGCAACAUGUAUGCUUGACGUCACUACUCCUUCAAUGGAGUCACAAACGAGUGUGGACUUUGCUCAACUAUUCACCGCAGCUUAAUCUUACUAAUCAUGAAACUUUUGGGGGUUUCUUAUGUCUACGGGACAGGGAGGAGCUGUUGUUUAGGCUAAUAUGUUGGAGUCUUAGAACAUAAGGCCUCACAUAUCUGAAAACUGGUAGCUCUGAAACUGGAACACCAAAAUAUCAACGGAUGAGACUUUGUCCCUCUUUGCAGUGGCAAGUGUACAACUGUAUUGAAUACAGGUUGGGCAUCAUAAGAGUUAUCAAAGAUGAUAAGCUUUAAGUAUGAGCCUGGUAACGAGUUCAGCUUAAUAAGAAGCAAAUGCAGCAAAGGAAGCAGUCAACUACACUAGGCGAUGGCACAGAAGACUAGCACACAUGAAUGUGAGGUCUAUGGAGACACUUGCUAGGAGAGAGUGCAUGAAGAAAGAGGAGAUAGGAAGUCUCGGGUUUUGUGAGGCGUGUACACUGGGGAAAUCUCAUAAGCAGAAGUUUCCAAAAGGAAGACACGAAACGAAAGGAGCAUUGGAAUAUAUUACACUCCUUAAGUAUUUGUUCCUUAGUUAGUAGUGCCCAGUUACUCUAAAAAUUCUAAAUUUACAACAUACAAUUUUAUUUACAUC